rnacentral:rRNA from 1 species
GUCUACAGCCAUACCACCCUGAAUGUGCCGAUCUCAUCUGAUCUCAGAAGCUAAGCAGGAUUGGGCCUGCUUAGUACUUGGAUGGGAGAACGUCUGGAAAUACCGGGUGCUAUAGGCU